rnacentral:lncRNA from 1 species
AAACUCCAUAUGCUCAUUUUUAGCAACAUGGAUGGACCUAGAAAUUAUCAUGUUAAGUGAAGUCAGUCAGACAAUGAGACACCAACAUCAAAUGCUAUCACUUACACUGGAAUCUAAAAAAAGGACACAAUGAACUUCUUUGCAGAACAGAUACCGACUCAUAGACUUUGAAAAACUUAGGGUUUCCAAAUGAGAUAACAGGUUGGGGGGUCAGGGGAUGCACUGAGGGUGUGAGAUGGAAAUGCUAUAAAAUCUAGUUGUGAUGAUUGUUGUACAACUAUAAAUGUAAUAACAUUCAUUGAGUAAUUUUAAAAAAUCAAAGAAAUAUCCUAUAUAUCACCCCCAACCCCAAAUCAAAACUUGUUUCUAAUUUCCUUAUCACUGGAGGCAGCUAAAUCCAAUUCACACUUCUGGAAACACUUUUGAUUUCUGUGUUUACCUAUAUUCUUUCUCUUUGUUUAAAAUGUAACUGGUUACAAAAUCCUAAAGAUUCUAGCAAUUUAGAUAAUUUUUUCUCUCUAGUUGUACAGAAGGUACCAUUAUAAUCUCAAUUUUCAUCCUACUUAAUUACAAUUCCAUCCUACACACAGCUGCCAAGAUCAUCUUCUUUAAAGAAUUUCCAACUUGUCACCUGCCUUAAGAAUCAGUCCCUCGUCAGGGAUUGAUGGCUCCUCAUGGGUAUCAUACCUCUCUUAUCUUUGCUGCUCCUAACUACUAAUAAAGUCUUUUCCCCCUUUAAAUUGCUAGGCUUUACGGUCUGCCAUGUGCUGUUUGCUAAGCUUGCUCCUUGUCUCUUCACACACCAUCCUCUAGACCAUACUACAGCUUCCUCUCCCUUCCCCUGGGAGGGGAAGCUGCAAUGGACAGUCAAUCCCCUUUAAAGAAUCAGAUCAGCAUUUACCUGAUAAAACCACCCCAACCCUCAGUGCCCUAAUCACCUUAAAAACAGUUUCUUUUCAAUUGUUAAAGCUUGACUGUAGGUAUUUUCUAGAAUUUUCACAUUAAGUUGCUCGUAGGUCUUUUAAUGUGCAUAUUAUAUUUGUCAAACUACAAAUUCUAGGAUGAAAAUAAUGUCUUUUACUUCUCACCUCCCUCUAACCUUGCCUGCCAUCCCCUCAGGCCCUGCAUCAUCUGGAUCCAGACUGUUCAAUAAGUGCUUAAUAACUAUCCUGAUUGUUUCACCCACAUAGCCAACUUACCAGAUAAGCUAUCAUUCGAAAACAACAUAUGUGUAAUGCAACAACACAAAAACAAUCAUUUAACUUCCUCCAGUUCCUGUUUCAGGAAAUAUUUUGUUCAAACUGAACAACACAAAUAAGAUGUCUAUAAGUGUUCUUUUUCUGAUUGUCUUUUGAUACAGAAAAAUAGUUUUUAAAAAGUCAUUGUUUUACUACUGAACACUUGUAUUUGUGUUCAUUUAUUCCAAUUUUAACUAUUUCUAAAAAUCCUAAAAUGCUAACUUAUUUGGUACAUGGUAUGUGACUACAAUGUGUCAAACACUGAGGUAGAGAGAGAAGAAAAAUCAGAGAUCACCUUGUCCUAUCUACAGAUGGGAAAAACCGAGGCCUAAAGAGACCAAGCUGUCUCAGGUGACAACAUAAGAGGCAGUGUCAGAAAUUAGAGUCUUCAGAGCCUGCUGAGAGCACAGUAAAAAAACAAAACAAAACAAACAAAUAUAUAUAUAUGUGGAGAGAGAGAGAGUGAGAAAGAGAUACCACUAAAAAGUCAACCAAUGGAAAAUCUAUGAUUGAAAAAACAUAAAUAGGCCAGAUGGGGGAGAAACAGUACAUGGAGUUCACCUGCUCCCACAAACACACUAAAAAAAAAAAAUUCAUCUACGUGUAGAAUGAUAUUCACAGAUCAUCUACUGAAAGCUGGCAGAAGACCUCAGACUUCCAAAAAGGGAAGAAAACCUCCACAUAACUAGAUAGGACAAAAGGAAAAAACAGAGAGAGAGAAGAGAGAACAAAUAAUCAGGAUGGGACCAGCACUUCUGGGAGGGACCUGUGAAACAGGAAAGGAAUCUACAUACUGGGAGGCCAUCCGGUUGAUGAGGGGAGCCUCAAAAUCUCAGAGAAAAGCACAGCAGCUGGUCUGAGGAGAGCAGAGCCUCAGAGAGCUGCACAGAUGAGACAUUCAGGUGGGGGUAGGUGCUGAUUUUCAGGCUUUGGAGGUCAGUCCCAGAAAGAGGACUAGGGUUAGCUGUGUGGAAACAGCCUGAGGAGGCUAGGGAGUGGUGUGCCACAGUGAGGGAAGAGAGAAGGCCUGGGCCCUCCAGAGAAGCAAGGCACUGUGCCUGGAGAGUGCGGGGUGGGGGAUGGGGAGGCAGGACCAUAUAAGAACUUCCGUCUCUGUGCAUGUGUGCAGGCUCUCAGGCAGCAGGGCAUUUCUUGUGUGGGCCAUGAAGGUGGGUGCUAGCUGCUGCAGCCAUUCCAGACUCCAGAAGUGGGUGCAGCCACCACUGCCUGCCACCCUCACCACCUCAGGGACCCACAUUGCUGAGGAGGGCCCUGCAACCAGGUGCCACCCAUUGCCAUCAGCUCUCUGGGGACAUACGGCCUGCCACCACCACUGCUGCCAAGGGUCCUGCAUUGAGGCACUACCCUUCAAUCCUACUUCCCUGGGAACACACAUCCCCUGCCUUUGCCAAGCUGAGGGUCCCAUGACUAGGUGCCACCUCCACCUCCCUGAAGGAUGCUGCUACUGUCAAGGACUGUGCAGCCUGCUGCUACCACCUCUCUGUGGGUCCAGGCACUGCCAAGGCCCAGUGACCAGGCACUGUCUGCAGGUGCCAUCCACUGCCCCCACCUCUAUGAAAGGGAUAAGGGAAACAUGCAUGGGCCGUACACCCACACACCUUCUAUGAAGGGGAUAAGGGCCUGAACACACUGAAGAAAGAGACAGCAAGCAUCCGAACCAAAAGUAGCCCUCACACCAAAAAAACAGUACAACCAGGGACACUCCUGCAUAUAAAUAGACCUACAAGACUACAAUGGAUAAUUGUUUCCCCUAAACUCACAGAAUAAGAAAAAUAUAAGCAAAAUGAGGAAGCACAGGAAACAUUCCCAGUUAAAAGAACAGGAGAAUUUCCCUGCUGGAGCAAACAACAAAACAGACCUCUUUAGUCUAGCAGACACCAAGUUCAAAAAGAAGGUAAUGAAAGUACUGAAGGAGUUAAGAACAGCUACCAAAAGUAAUGAAGAUGACUGUAAAAAGGAAGUAGAAACUAUAUGGAGGAGUCAAGAAAAGUUAGAAAAUUCAUUUGCUGAAAUGAAAGAUGGGCUAAAGGCAAUAAAUUGCAGAAUGAAUAAUGCAGAGGAAUGAAUAAGUGACUUGGAAGAUAGAUAGAAAAAUCAGGACAGCAGACGGCCAAAUGGAAAAAAAUGAAACAAUAUAAGAAAACUAUGGGAUAAUAUAAACUGUACCAAUCUACGCAUAAUAAGGAUCCCAGAGGAGAAGAGAAAAGGGGAUUGAAAACGUAUUUGAAGAAAUUAUGGCUGAAAAUUUCCCAAAUCUAAAGAAGGAAACAGAUAUCCAGAUAUAGAAAGUACAGAGGGUUGCAAACAAGAUAAGCCCAAACAGACCUACACCAAGACAUAUUAAAAUAAAAACGGCAAAAUUUCAGAGUUCCCGUCGUGGUGCAGCGGAAAUGAAUCCGACUAGGAACCAUGAGGUUGAGGGUUCGAUCCCUGGCCUUGCUCAGUGGGUUAAGGAUCUGGCGUUGCUAUGAGCUAUGGUGUAGAGUUGCAGAUGCAGCUUGGAUCCAGCAUUGGACCCCUAGCCUGAGCACCCCUAACCGAUUCAACCCCUAACUUGGGAACCUCCAUAUGCCACAGGAGUGGCCCAAAAAGCAAGAAAAAAAAAAAAAGAAGAAGAAGAGGACACUACACUCAUCAAUAUACAUGCACCUAGUAUAGGAACACUCAAAUACAUAAAACAAAUAUUGACAGACAUAAACAGAAAAAU